rnacentral:rRNA from 1 species
GCCACGCACGGUGCGUCGGCCGUGGUGAGACGACGGGGGCUGGCGUUGGCCGGGUUUAUUUGUGGUAAAGAGCUCGGAGGCGGCUUGUGGCGUCGACUGGGAAAACCCACAGCGCAACUGGGGGCUGUCAGUCGUUACGGGGAGGCUAGAGUUCGGUAGGGGAGACUGGAAUUCCGGGUGUAGCGGUGAAAUGCGCAGAUAUCAGGAGGAACACCGGUGGCGAAGGCGGGUCUCUGGGCCGAUACUGACGCUGAGGAGCGAAAGCGUGGGGAGCGAACAGGAUUAGAUACCCCAGUAGUC